GCUCUAGUGGCGCAAUUGGUUAGUGCGUGGUACUUAUAAUGCCAAGACUGUGAGUUUGAACCUCACCUAGAGCA